rfam:Cellulomonas bogoriensis 69B4 = DSM 16987 strain 69B4 contig15, whole genome shotgun sequence.
GGGCCUCUAGCUCAACUGGCAGAGCAGCGGACUUUUAAUCCGCGGGUUGUGGGUUCGAUCCCCACGGGGCCCA